GAUGAACGCUGGCGGCGUGCCUAAUACAUGCAAGUCGAGCGAAUGGAUUAAGAGCUUGCUCUUAUGAAGUUAGCGGCGGACGGGUGAGUAACACGUGGGUAACCUGCCCAUAAGACUGGGAUAACUCCGGGAAACCGGGGCUAAUACCGGAUAACAUUUUGAACCGCAUGGUUCGAAAUUGAAAGGCGGCUUCGGCUGUCACUUAUGGAUGGGCCCGCGUCGCAUUAGCUAGUUGGUGGGGUAACGGCUCACCAAGGCAACGAUGCGUAGCCGACCUGAGAGGGUGAUCGGCCACACUGGGACUGAGACACGGCCCAGACUCCUACGGGAGGCAGCAGUAGGGAAUCUUCCGCAUGGACGAAAGUCUGACGGAGCAGCGCCGCGUGAGUGAUGAAGGCUUUCGGGUCGUAAAACUCUGUUGUUAGGGAAGAACAAGUGCUAGCUGAAUAAGCUGGCACCUUGACGGUACCUGCAGAAAAAGCACCGGCUAACUACGUGCCAGCCGCCGCAGUAA
rnacentral:rRNA from 1 species